rnacentral:rRNA from 1 species
UACGAAGGUGGCAAGCGUUACUCGGAAUUACUAGGCGUAAAGGGCAGGUAGGUGGUCUGAUUAGUCUGUUGUGGAAGCUCCCGGCUCAACUGGGAGAGGUCAACAGAUACUGUCAGGCUUGAGUAUAGGAGAGGUUACUGGAAUUCCCGGUGUAGCGGUGAAAUGCGCAGAUAUCGGGAGGAACACCAAUGGCGAAAGCAGGUAACUGGACUAUUACUGACACUCAGCUGCGAAAGCUAGGGGAGCAAACAGG